AUCCAUCUGAUGUCAAUACAGGGAAUUACUGCUGAUACUUUGUGUUUUUUUUUCUUUUCAUUUACUGAUCUUGAUUAUGAUCCAAAUAAAACACAACAAAAGCACAACAAAAUGUUUAAAAAAUGAACAAUUGACUCCGAUUGGAAUCCUUCAGAGCACUCCUGUGUCCAAGGCUUUUAACGAUAUAAUUCCGACAAUGUAAACGCAACAAAAUAAACCUACAUGUUAAAAGUCUACCUCAUCACGCUGGUAUUGAUCUUGAUAUCAUCGUGGUGAUCCACCUACCCCCGCCGUUGACUGCUAGUCCUUUUGAGUGUUGAGACAUCUUCACUCAGCUAUCACCGUCCAGAACAGCUAUAUAAAAAUAUAUAUCGUGCUUGAUGUCUAGUCCAGUCUCCCAAUGUACAAUAAUACUAAUAGCUUGACGUAUACAGUAUGUAUAAUACAAGUCAUCACAUUCAACGUGUCCCGCCGGUCCACACAAUUACUUUGCAAACAAAGUCAAAUAGCUUUGAUACCUCAAUAUUUCAGAGCUGAUUUUAUCACUGGACAAGAUUACUGUAUGUUGGUGAGAUAAUGCACAUCUUAGCAAAUACAACGAUCACCAUGGCUGUACUUUGAAAUUCUUGGCGGAAGUAGCGUGAUUCACGUUAGCUUAAUGCUAGGUAGUAGAGGAAAGCGAUUCUUCUGGAAAUAACCUCUCACGGUGGGAGCUUUUAGGUCUCAACCCAUAUGAAAAUUACAUUUGGGGGAAUUUAAGGAAGUCUACUGAACCGCGAGGUGUGACGAAGGUAAAAUGUUUCUUGCGAAAAGUGACAUUUCGGAGCGUGUUACGAACACAGAGUAGCAUGCUAAUAGCAGCUGUAGCUAGCGCCAUCACCGCGGCUUCUGUCCCACAGAUGGCGUCUUUGGCCGCUCAGCUCCCAUCAUUGCACGCGAUUGCCAUGGUGCUCCUCAGGGGAGGCGCGACGAGGACUUAGAGGUCGUGUUCGCUUCACUGCUACUACAUGCAGGAGGUCGGUGGGGGCCAAAUCUCGCGAGAAGAGUCACCGUUAACCUUAAAUUGGAGUCAUGUAGUCUACUAAAGGACGUUUGCAGAUGCUGUCUUUACUCUUUUGUAAUUGUAUUUAUUAUAUUUGUUUUAGGAGAGUCAUCAUGCCGGCUGUGACUCCACCCCCUGUGCUCCCAUUGGCUGACAGCGAUGUUGAUGGAUCUGCACAAACAAGUCCUCCUCCCACAGCCUCUGUUCUUAGCCAUCAUCCUUGUCCAAGCUGUCCUUGCUCCUCCCUCCUGCCCCGCCUCCUCGCCGCCCACAGGAUGGAGAUACGACGCCUCCUGCGAGGGGCUCUGACGUCUUUGGGUCGACGGCUGGACGUCCUGGAAAGGAGAAGCGGGAGGAAGACGAGGAAGAGAAGCAGGCGGACAACAGAAAAAGAACAAGGAGUAGGAGCCAGGAAUUGUCCUCCUCAUGUCUCAGCUUUCACCCCCUUCCCUGGCCUUUUUGUGUCCACCUGUAGCCCCGCCCCCAUUUCUUCUUCAAUGCUUGACCCGCUCCUUUGCUGGAAGAGCAGCCAAUCAGAGCAGAGGGGCGGAGAGGAGGAGGGGAGAGGCAGAAAGAGGAGGAGCCACCAUAGAGAAAGAGGAGUGGUGGGUGUGGCUCCAGAAAAGAGAGAAGAGGAUGCUGGGAGGUUUGUGAGCCGCAUGGCGCUCUGCCGACCAGGACGCGGAGCUAAUGAGGACGCGCCACUGAUGCUUGUCAAUUUUGACCACAGAGGACAGAAAGAAAGAUGGGAUGGAGGCGGUGUCCAAUCAGUGAAGGCCAUCGAUGUUGUCGCCAGGCCAAAUGGUUGCAGCAGCAUGUCUUUUCACUACCUGCGUUUGUCAGGCCAAUGGCGCUUCUCAGACUUCAACCCUCCUCCUUCACUUCGCUCCAAUCACAGAUCUCUGAUCAUCGCUGCCUCUUUUAGCCCCACCCCCCUGCUGCGUCUCUCAACGGCCAUGGUCUCGAUGAGGGGCGGGACUUGCUGGAAUCCACGGAGGUGCCUGAGGGACUGGACAGCCCCGCCCAGUCUCGGCGGCGAUCACUGCUACGUGCGGCCUUCAGCAGAUCUCAGACGCACCAAGCAGGAAGGCAGUCACGGCGCCGGGAGCCGCCCCCCGUUCGUCCGACCAGCCCCGCCUUCGGCCGACGUGGCAUCAGCUCUGCUACCGGCCGGCCAAUCGGUAGCCGGCUCCAUGGAGAAAGGAAGACGAGUGUCGCAGAUUCCCAUCCGCCGCGCGUCGCCCCGUGAGACGCCACUCACGCCCAUGGGCCUGCCAAAGGUCAAAAGAGUGACGAAGAAAGACUUCAGUGUGGAGGAGAUUUACACCAACAAGAACUACAAAUCUCCCAGCAUCAACAGGAGCUUGGAAACCAUCUUUGAGGAGCCUCGGGAGAAAGAUGGAGCGCUGCUUCUGAUUGGCCAGCAGAGGCGGCGUAGGCUCCUCCUCUUUCCUGACUUCACUCAGCCCAGGAAGAGGAAGCGGCCCCAAGGGGCAGGGCUUCCAGUCACAGCGCCACCAAGGAAACGUGCCACCGCCCGGCGUCACUUCCGCAUGGUGGGAGGUGCUGACGAUGACUCGGACCUGGACGUGAUGCUGGUAGAGCGACUCAGCGCGCUGGAAGACUUCCUGACUCGUCAGGGAUUGGACGUGUGACAUCACUUCCUGUCUGUGGCCUGGUUGAGGAGGCCACGCCCACAGCCGGACGUGUGGUUUUAACUGGAUGAGAACAACUUGACCAUGUUGACAGCGUCUCCUGUGGACAUCCCAUCAUAUUUCCACGUAUUUUCAAGUAGAAAGGCAGAAAAUACUUUCUUGUUUUUAAUAUUGAAAGAGAAAUUGAUUGGAGGAGAAAUGUCAAUCAUUAUAAAGAAAAAAAACGGAGCUUGGUCUUUCUUACUGCAUCGAGGGAGGUCAUGUGACCAGGAUGAUCCACACGCUCAAUGCCAGCAAAAGUUCAACAAUAGACAAAUUCUGUAUUACAACAGGCUUGUUAUGUUAUAAAAUACUAGUCUACAGUAUUAAAAUAUAUCUUUUAUAUGUCCUCAGACAUUGGGGGGUAUGACUUCAGUAGACGAGAGUGAUAGCCGUGGGAACAGGUACCACUGGUGGUACUUGUAGUAGUAUUGGUGGUACUCAGGUCUUUCAUUUGUUUUCUACGCUGCUUGUCCUCAUUAGCGUUGCAGGAGCAUGCUGGAGCCUAUCCCACCUGACUUUGGGCGAGAGGGCGGGUACACCCUAGACUGGUGGUGUCCUGUAUACUGCUUGUAGUUUUUCAAUGUGAGAGCGUGAAUUGAAACAAUCUGCUCGUACGUUUUUGUUUGCGUUUGUCAUAUUGGUGACGCCAUAGCUCCUGGACCACCAUCAUCAUGUGUAUCAUCACGUGACCACAGCAGCAACUUGUUUUGGUGUCACUAUCUGCACCAGAACCACCAUUCGUUCUGUGCUUGCGCAACAAAUGCGUCACUUCCUCCAUUUCUAUUUUUUUUACUACAGCGCUUCUGGGACGUCACGUGCACUAGUUUCUGUAUGGGCAUGGUGUGUACUGGAUUACCCACGAGGCAGUCCCAAGCCGGCAGUGUACAGCGCUUCCGCGGCACUGGAUAAAGAGGAGGGUGUGUUGAUAUUUAAUUGCUAGUGUAUUGCUACUCUUUAUGUGUAAAAUGGAGUGGAUUAUCUUCAAAUUCUUGGGGUAAGUGUGAGUAAUUGAUAACCCAGUUGCUAUUCCAUAUAUUGACCAGAAGAGUGUGCUACUCACGAAGCACACUGACAGCAUCGUCUUAUUCGUGCUUCGCUUGUGCUCAUUUCAAAAAUAGCCAUCUUAAUGAGGGUGUUUUUACCCACUUUUUUUCUCUCCUACGAGGUAAUGCUUUUUUCCAACAGCAUUUUAUAACAGCAUAUGCAAAUUAGACGACGUCAUCUAGCGACUUCAAGGACGGCCAGCGAGUUUAUGACAAUAAAACUUUAAUCUUGAAUCUUGAAUUUCACAUGCUUGACCAGUAGAGGGCACUGUGACACUGCUAAUGGGACCAACAGGAGAUUAAGACCAGUGGGAGGAGACUGAAGAAAAGCUAAAUUGUAGCUGUACAUGCAAUGGCACAGCCUGUGAUUAAAGUUUAUGAAGAGAUAAUAGGCCUGCUUAAUUCUACACCACCCACAGAACACUACCUCUUUUAGAAGAGUCUAACCACCACCAUUUGUUCUUUUUUCAAUAUCUCCGCCUCCUUGUUGGUGGUGGCCACCACCAACGACGUACUGUAUGCUCGACCACUCCUUUUCAAAGGUUACAGACGCCUGGCCUAGGGGAAGUGAAGGAGGACAACUCCAAAUGCUAUUGGAAUGCAGCCAAGGACCUGCACUAGUACAGUUACUUCCUGAAGAGCAUUUAUUUUGAAGAUGACCGGAAGUGAGACUACCACUCCCGCCUGGUCAGCUGACACACCGCCGGUCUGCUGACUGUCAAACAGCCGAGGCUUCAUCUGGCUCGGUUGGAACCUUUUCGGCGUCCCUGCUUGUGGAGCUCCUAAGCGGACUCGUUGACAUUCUCCCAGGCUGGAUCGUUGGCCUCCUCGAGCCGUGCUCGUCGCACCUUGCCUCGGGUUCCCAGGGGCCCGCUCUUCCUUUCGCCAGCCGCUCGGCUGGUCGACUCCACGCCCGGUGGCCC